UUGAACGCUGGCGGCAGGCCUAACACAUGCAAGUCGAGCGGAUGAAGGGAGCUUGCUCCUGGAUUCAGCGGCGGACGGGUGAGUAAUGCCUAGGAAUCUGCCUGGUAGUGGGGGAUAACGUCCGGAAACGGGCGCUAAUACCGCAUACGUCCUGAGGGAGAAAGUGGGGGAUCUUCGGACCUCACGCUAUCAGAUGAGCCUAGGUCGGAUUAGCUAGUUGGUGGGGUAAAGGCCUACCAAGGCGACGAUCCGUAACUGGUCUGAGAGGAUGAUCAGUCACACUGGAACUGAGACACGGUCCAGACUCCUACGGGAGGCAGCAGUGGGGAAUAUUGGACAAUGGGCGAAAGCCUGAUCCAGCCAUGCCGCGUGUGUGAAGAAGGUCUUCGGAUUGUAAAGCACUUUAAGUUGGGAGGAAGGGCAGUAAGUUAAUACCUUGCUGUUUUGACGUUACCAACAGAAAAGCACCGGCUAACUUCGUG
rnacentral:rRNA from 1 species